GGCCGGUUCGUCUAACGGUUAGGACGUCAGGUUUUCAUCCUGGUAAUAGGGGUUCGAUUCCCCUACCGGCUA
rnacentral:tRNA from 1 species